GGGGAAGGCGGAUCUGGCAGGGAGGCUGAACGGCGACGGCGUCAGGGCUGAGAUGAGCUCAGAUCUGUAGUCGUCGAGCGAGAUCAGCGCGGCUGAAGCAGGGGACGUCGAGCGUUGGUCGCGGAUAGGUCUCAUGGGUUGCUGGAGUUGCGGCCACCGGCGUGAAGAAACGAGCGGCGGUUGCGGUGCUACACGUCAGGGGGAAGGCGGAUUUGGCAGGACGACGAUGGUGGAGGUGCAGAGUUGUCGCAGGUCGGUGGGCGCGCGGGUAUGAGAUCGGAGCGGCAUCGGCAGGAGGGUGGCGGACGACUGGGCUACAACGGCUUCGCGGCUCGUGCGGUGAG
rnacentral:lncRNA from 1 species